rnacentral:misc_RNA from 1 species
UGGUGGCCAUUUCAUAGUACUGG